AAACUUACCUGGCGGGGAAAAUACCUAGAUUAUGAAGGAGAUUUUCCCAGGGUGAGGUUCAACCACUGUACUCCGGUUGUGCUGACUCCUGUGAAUUCCCCAAGNGUGGGGAACUUGACUGCAUAAUUUGUGGUAGUGAGGGACUAUGGACCUUUU
rnacentral:snRNA from 1 species